ensembl:lncRNA
UUUAAUAAAAUAAUUGCUUUUAUUCUUUCUCUUAUAGCAAAACUAUUAAUCAUCAUGCUGUUAUUUACACAUUGCACAGGAAUAUUUAUUUCACACUGUACAUCUUACAAUGCUAAAAGUGACAUGGACCACAACAUUCUCCUUUGACAGACAGACGGCCUACCUGCAGACACAGUGGCUAUCUUCCUUUGAGAAUAAUUCUUUUUUUAUGUUCACAGUUUAUUCAGAGAAACAGUCAUCUUGAUUUCUCCACACUGUUUAAUUUUUUCUCUUUUUUUUGUUCAUUUUUUUGUUCAUUUUUUUUGUUGCAAGUAAAAAGACGUGCAUUUAACGUUUUGAACGCAAUCCCUGACUCUCCAACCUGUAUCUUUUCAAUACCAACUCUUCAGAAAUGAAUAACAUUUGUUUUGCCUCUUGGUUCAUGUCUUCUCUCAAUCCCAUUGACAGGCUGCAGAAUAAAUAUGUGACUUCAAGUAUUUUUUCAGAACAAAGAAAAAGCAGAGUUUGAGGGAUGCAAAAGGUUAAAGAAAUUAUAAUAAAAUCGAUAUAAAAGACAGCUGCCCUGGCAGCAGCUAAUGAUGUUUAAGUAACACAAUUGGAAAGACAAUUAAAACGCAAUAGAUGUUUGGCAACUAAGGGUUCUCCAUGACUAUUAAUGCUAAACUAAUAUUGGCGAAUGUGAUUUGAAACACAAUGUCUUUACUAUAAUAACCUCUGUAUCCCAUAACAACUGAUAAACCCUCAGAGCACCAGGCUGGAGAUGUUCAAUGGUGAAAGUUGUGCUUUUGGAAUCCACAGGGUUUUACUCAUUGGGAUCAUUUGGGGUUGUUGUUGAUAUGAUGGGAUAGAUCUGAAUUCGGUUGGUGGUAUAAUAACAACAACUUCAAGGCAAUCAUUGUAGAAUGGAGUUGAGUUGAAAUAUAUUUUUCAUGUUUUCAAAUUGAAAACCUUUUCAAGGUUUUUACCUUAUCUAUAGAUGGACGUUAUUUUUGGCAUGAAAGAAAAAAACAGGAGUAUUGUGCGUAACAUUUGAUAUGUACCAUGACAUUAACACGUCAAAGACCAAAAUGAAAAACUGUUGUAAACAUGAGUCUCACACAUUUGGCACAUUUUCUUGUUAAUUGAUGUCACUUUGUAUCUGUGUGGGUGUGUGUGUGUGUGUGUGUUUGUGUGUGUGUGUGUGUGUGUGUGCGUGCGUGCGUGUGGCGUGCGUGCGUGCGUGUCGUGUGUGCUUGCGUGCUUGCGUGCAUAUGCCGUGCGUGGGUGCAUGCUUGCGGAUGUGUGUGUGUCUGUGUGUGUGUGUGUGUGUGUGUGUGUGUGUGUGUGUGUGUGUGUGUGUGUGUGUGUGCCUUCUCACCAAGAACUCUGAAACACAGAACCAAACCGUUUUUCUUCCUAACCAUCGCAUUCCCAUGGGGCUUAAAUGUACACAUCCCCUUUUCCACGUCAUCUCCUUUGAUUCUUUUUUAAAUAUUUUAACCUCUUCCUUCCCUUCUCAUCUGCUCUAUCUGUCCCACAGAGGGUUGGGCUCUGCUUGGACCGCGGUCCAGACACCUCUCAGUACAUUCGGCGCUUCAUGUAGAUCCUCUCGAUAAAGUUCUCCAGCUCCUCCUCGCUGUCCAGCUGAGGAACCAGUCCGUCCUCCUCAUAGUCGUCUGCGUGGGGGGUCACCUGGGGGUAGAAGUAGUGGGGGCGCCUUCCUCUCCUGGCGGGAGUCAUUGGUUUGGGGGAGGUAAGGGCUGGUAGGUCCUUGGGUGGGGGAGGAUGUAAUUGGAGAUAUAAGGGGUGAUGGGGCUCUGGGGCGGGGACUGCUGCUGCCUCCAGCCCUGCCCGCGUCCUUUCCCCCCCGACCGGAACCGGCGCCUGGGGGUCGGGAGUUCGAGUUCCUGGGGUCCUAACUGCUGGUCCAUGGAAGGGGACGCUUUGCCGUAAUAGUGUUGCUUAGGGUAGGGGAAAUACACAGGGUAGUAGGCGCGAUAUGGCUUCUGGUAGUAGGGAUAGGAGGGGAAGGCCAAAAACUGUUUCUGCGGUUUGUACCAGAAGUCACGCUGCUUCUGAGGCUUGUACCAAAAGUCCUGCUUGUACGCCUUGACCUUGUCCUUCUGCCACUUCUUGCCGGACCUGUACUUGUAGCCGGCCUUCUUGGGGUUGCUGGAGGCCGUGUAGUGGUACAUGGGCGGGGCGGCCAGAGGCGGGGGCACCAGGGGCCUGAACCGCUGGGUGACGGGGCGGAGGUCGGCGGGCCGCUGCUGCAGCUCUUUCCUCUUCUUCUUCUUCUCCUCCACGUCGCUGAUGAUCUCCACCACGUCGUCGGCUGGCAGGUGCAGCUUGCUGCUGAUCUCGAUCAGCCGGUCGAUCAUCUGCUGGUCCAUGUCGUCGUCGUCGUCGUCGGUGGCCACCUCCUCGGACCGCUUGUCCUCGGCCGUGUUGCUGGCGGCGGCCGCGGCGCUGCUCUUCUGCCGCGGCUUCAUGUAGGGCGGCGUCUUGCGGCCCAUGUACUGCAGCAGCAUGUCCGAGGCAAUGUCGGCCAGCCGCUGCUCCUCCUCGCGGGCGCGCUCCGCCUCCUGCUGCUGCCUCAGUACCUCCUGCUUCUCGGCGCGGGCCCUGGCCUCCUCCUCAAGGCGGGAGAGGCUCUCCUCCUCCCUCUCCACCUCCUCCUCCAGCUCCUCGCCCUCGGCGUCGAAGUCGUCCAUGAAGUUGCCCCCCUGGGCGGGCCGGUUGCGGGCCUGCUCCUCGGGCCAGUGCUGCUUCUUGCCGGCGCGGGCCAGCUGGGUGUUGUAGGCCUUGUAGCCCUUCAGCGGGGGCAGGAUCUCGUUGUCUUGGAGACCCAAGUCAAUGUUUUGAAAGUAGCCCCUGGUUCUGCGACGCAGCUUGGCGUCGUCCCCCCGGGAGCCCGGCUCGUCUGCCUCCCCCAGCGACGGAUCGCCCUCCCCCUGCUCCUCUGGGUUCGGC